rnacentral:rRNA from 1 species
UACGGAGGAUGCGAGCGUUAUCCGGAUUUAUUGGGUUUAAAGGGUGCGUAGGCGGCUUUUUAAGUCAGCGGUGAAAUUUUGCAGCUUAACUGUAACAGUGCCGUUGAUACUAGGGAGCUAGGAUUUGGUUGCUGUGGGUGGAAUGUGUGGUGUAGCGGUGAAAUGCUUAGAGAUCACACAGAAUAUCGAUUGCGAAGGCAGCUCACAAAGCCAAGAUUGACGCUGAGGCACGAAAGUGUGGGUAUCAAACAGGAUUA